rnacentral:rRNA from 1 species
UACAGAGGUCUCAAGCGUUGUUCGGAUUCAUUGGGCGUAAAGGGUGCGUAGGCGGCGCGGUAAGUCGGGUGUGAAAUCUCGGGGCUUAACUCCGAAACUGCAUUCGAUACUGCCGUGCUUGAGGACUGGAGAGGAGACUGGAAUUUACGGUGUAGCGGUGAAAUGCGUAGAGAUCAUGAGGAAGGCCAGUGGCGAAGGCGGGUCUCUGGACAGUUCCUGACACUGAGACACGAAGGCCAGGGGAGCAAACGGG